rnacentral:misc_RNA from 1 species
AAGUCGUAACAAGGUUUCCGUAGGUGAACCUGCGGAAGGAUCAUUAUUGAAACUUGCAAAAGUUGUUGCUGACUCUUAAGGGAGUAUGUGCACGCUUUUACAUCUUUUUACCACCUGUGCACUUUUUGUAGACUCGGAUACUUGUCAAUUUGAACUUGUUCGAAUUGGAUGUAAAGUUUGCUGUGUGUGGGUUCUGCCCACUGGGCUUACUUUAAAUUUCUGAGUCUAUGCCCAUUACACAUUCCAAUUUAAAACAAUAGAAUGUCAAUGGUUCUAGUAACCUUAAACUAAUACAACUUUCAACAAUGGAUCUCUUGGUUCUC